rnacentral:misc_RNA from 1 species
AUAUAUAUCCUCUGAAAUCAGCUGGUGCAUUAUAGUCAUAGAUUUUGAUUGCAUUACAACCAUGAAUUUUUCCCUGAGCUUCCUCAUCAAAUUUUCUGCAACUAUAAUGGAACUACAAAUGGGAAUGUGCAAAUAUAGCAGAUACCAUUCAGUUUAGCAUCAACCAAUUCAAUUCUAUUUUAGACAUCAUUUCUGCUCUGGUGUAAACAGAAAAUUCCAUGCAAGCUAGGCUCAGAAACAUUACAGUAGGAUAUGGUGUAGAAAAAGAGAAAAGGAACGCAUUAGUUAGCAGCAAACUAGCAUUUAUGAACAAUAUCAGUAGAAUUAUCUGUUCAUUCUAUUAAAAUUCAAUCAUCUAGCUCGUCCUCAUCUUCAUCAUCAAUGAAUUCUUCCUCUUCUUCAUCGCUUUCUCCUCCUUGUUCCUCGUCAACAUCAUCAUCAUUCACAAUAAAGCCUCCAAGUGUAGCAUCAGCAUCAUCAUCAUCGUCAUCGUCAUCAUUCACAGUGUUCUUCUGCAAAGAAUCUUUCUUUCUGUCUCUAUCUUUAUGGGGUUUAUCUUUUUCCUUCGAUCUUGUUGAAUGUUUUGAUCUCUCAAUCUUUCUUAUUUUCGCUACAGUCUCCUUAUCUUCUUCACUCUCACCGCUCCAAUCAUCAUCAUCCUUGUCAUUACCUCCACCUUUCUUCCUCUUUCUCCUCUCAUUUCCUUUCCUCUUCAUUCUAUUACUCUCAAAACUCCCACCGUCCUCGCUAUCUUCCUCAGGUUCCUCGAGGAACCAAUACCAAUUCUUCACAUCGCGGAAUCUUUGCUUGGGAUAGCAGUCGAACUCGUGCCCAAUUACCAGAAAUCCAAACUCUGCAGCUCCAACAUACAAAUGAAAGAAAUAUAUUAGAACGAUUACUGGUUAAGAUUAUUUGAAAGGAAGUAGCACAAAGGCCAAACCUUUAACAGGAUCAAUUUGUGAAAGAUCAACACUUUCUGAAUUCUCACCCAGUCUCUCGCUACCAUUCACGCUCCCAAAAUCCCUUUCUUUUCCAAUUCCGAUUCUCUUCAGGUUGAACCAAACAGGACUUUGACUUGAAAUGCAAAACCAGUCACCGGCUGCCAUUUCACCCCUCUCGAGCUUCCUGAAAACCUUGAUCUCUUUUCCACCGCCGCCGCUUCGCACCCAGAGUGGGUUCCUGCCAAUAACUUGAAAUGAAACCCUAGGCUCUGUAUGGUUUUCAGUUUUGUCGAGGUGAAAUAAGAUGUGACGGCGAGAGACGGUUCUGUCUUUGGUGUUAGACCCUGAGCCUCUUCCAAACACAGUCUCGGAACUGUCGUCUUUCAAUUCAAUCGUCGAGCCAUCAUCGCCUUCUAGCUCCAUUUGGCUUCUCUGAGUAUUGACAGAGGAAGUGGGAAGAGGAAGAUGUAAAA